AUACGGAGGGUGCAAACGUUGUUCGGAAUCACUGGGCGUAAAGGGCGCGCAGGCGGUUUGAUUAGUCAGAUGUGAAAGCCCACGGCUUAACCGUGGAAGUGCAUUUGAAACUGUCAGACUUGAGUACCAGAGGGGGUAGUGGAAUUCCCGGUGUAGAGGUGAAAUUCGUAGAUAUCGGGAGGAAUACCGGUGGCGAAGGCGACUACCUGGCUGGAUACUGACGCUGAGGCGCGAAAGCGUGGGGAGCAAACAGGAUUAGAAACCCUAGUAGUCC
rnacentral:rRNA from 1 species